rnacentral:lncRNA from 1 species
UUUUUUGCAUUAUUUUUCAUUAGUUUAUUUACAAUUUUAUUUAGUAAUAAGAGUUCAAGAGUUUAAUCCAAUUUUCAGAUCACAUCUCUUAAACAAUCUUCAUUCUGUUAGAGGAAUGAAUUAAAUAUCCUCAUUUUUUGAGUAGUUGGUGCCUUACUAUAAAGAAGGGAGCGGCAAAUCCAGAUCCAAAGGUAACAGUCAUCAUAGCCAGUAACCACCACUUGUUUUCCACUGAAAAUGGCAAAUUCUUUCCCGGGCCCUCCUCAUAGUGGCUGCGACGGCGCCGCAGGAGGCUCCGAGAGGCCCACAGAGCUGGAAGGCGGAAGAAACUGCCCCGGCAACGCACCCGGCUUUCUACACAACCUUGCUAUAACCGCAAAAUGUCCUCUUAAUGCUCGCUCACUUCAGUUAUGCCCAGAAAGCCAAUGCCACAUGCCCCCUUCCCAGACCACAGCUAAGAGCACUUGGGAGGCAGAGGCAGGGGGAUUGGGGUUUUAGGACCAUCCUCAACUACAUGGUAAGACAACUCAGGCUACACAAGACGCUGUCUCAAAAAAAUAAAAAUUAAAUUAAAAAUUAAAAAAAUCACUCAAUGCCGGGAAGAGCAACACCCUGGUGCCUUUGCCUCGGUCCCUGUGGGUUUCCACUGGGUAGAUGACACACCAAUCCCACUGUACUGCACUGCACUGCACAGGGUGCUUGCCCUGCUGCUUGGAGUGAGGAGCUAGAGGGAGCCAGGAAGGAAAGGAAACCACCCAGGAGCGGGCCCUCCUCUCCGGACAGCUGUCUGGAACCAUUUGGAAUGGGGAAAAUGGCCACACACCCUGGAACCUCAGAGCCUCUAAGGACUGUCAUUCACCAUAUGGAGAGUCAUGCUCAUGGCACAUGGUCAACCCAAAGGGUGAACUCACUUCAGAGGCUCUAUGCCAGGAGGUCCAAG